AACGAACGCUGGCGGCAUGCCUAACACAUGCAAGUCGAACGAGACCUUCGGGUCUAGUGGCGCACGGGUGCGUAACGCGUGGGAACCUGCCCUUAGGUUCGGAAUAACUCCCCGAAAGGGGUGCUAAUACCGGAUAAUGUCUUCGGACCAAAGAUUUAUCGCCUUUGGAUGGGCCCGCGUUGGAUUAGCUAGUUGGUAGGGUAAAAGCCUACCAAGGCGACGAUCCAUAGCUGGUCUGAGAGGAUGAUCAGCCACACUGGGACAGAGACACGGCCCAGACUCCUGCGGGAGGCAGCAGUGGGGAAUAUUGGACAAUGGGCGAAAGCCUGAUCCAGCAAUGCCGCGUGAGUGAUGAAGGGCUUAGGGUUGUAAAGCUCUUUUACCCGGGAUGAUAAUGACAGUACCGGGAGAAUAAGCUCCGGCUAACUCCGU
rnacentral:rRNA from 1 species